GACGAACGCUGGCGGCGUGCCUAACACAUGCAAGUCGAACGGGGUCCAUGGGAGCUUGCUCCCGGAAGACCUAGUGGCGAACGGGUGAGUAACACGUGAGAAACCUGCCCUGGAGUGGGGGAAUAACUCGGGGAAACUCGAGCUAAUACCGCAUACCCUCGGAUGGUCGCAUGGCCGACCGAGGAAAGAUUUAUCGCUUCAGGAGGGUCUCGCGGCCUAUCAGCUAGUUGGUGGGGUAACGGCCUACCAAGGCAACGACGGUAGCUGGUUUGAGAGAACGAUCAGCCACACUGGGACUGAGACACGGCCCAGACUCCUACGGGAGGCAGCAGUGGGGAAUCUUGCGCAAUGGGCGAAAGCCUGACGCAGCAACGCCGCGUGCGGGAUGACGGCCUUGU
rnacentral:rRNA from 1 species